UGAAGACUUAAAGCUGACCUCCACAAAUGAGAGAAAACAUCUUUUCGUGAUCAGAGCUACCCCAUACUGAAUGAUUGUUCCCAGUUUAAUCCAUUCAGGUGAAGACUUCAUAAUUUCAUUUUUCUUAACAGCUGGAUAGCAUUCCACUGUAUAAAUAUACCAUGUCUCCCUUGUCCACUCAUCAGUUGGUAAACACCUAGGUUGCUUCCACUUCCUAGAUGCUACAAAAAGAAUCAUGAAAUCUUUCAAACUUUCUGACCAGUCUCAACCCAACCACCCCACAGUUUUGUAUGUUUGAAACUGGCACAGGCUUGCAGGAAUAUGUCUAUGAAUAUUGUCUCUGGUGUCAUCAGGGUUACCUGAUUAGCAGGUGCAACUCAUGUGGAGAAUGGGGGUGGCAGACACUGGGUCUGCCAAACGCAUUUGAAGAACAAGAAAAGAGGUGUUGAGCACAUGUGAAGAAGUUAUUAUCACAGCGGGUCAUGGUGUGCAUCAUGAAUUCAAGAGGAAAUGAUCACAUCAGCAGGAGAGAAUAAAACGUUGCCAGAGUCGGGCAGCCAUUAUUCCUAAUUGAGAUGACCAUCAUAGGAAAUCAUUGCUGGAGAAGGGAGAUGUCGUCAGCAGACACAGGUCAGAACUGACAAGCAACACAUCUACAAAAGCAGUGUUGAACCACAGGACAAAGCAAGAAAGAACUCAGCACCGUCCCGUACUUUACAUACCCUCACAAAGAGGCUGUCUCAAAAUUAACCACCACAAAAACUGUUUUCAGGACCGGAAGCAAUGUUUAUCUUUCGUGCUUUUGUUUUCUGCUAUUUUGCAGUACUGGAGUGAGUGACUCUAUUUCACAGGGAAGUGCUCUGUGAUAGUUAAUGAGACUUUUUAUAUGCUAGGCAUCUUUCCAAGCACUCUACAUGCCUUAUGCUAUUUAAGGCUAGCAAUAAGUCUAUAGAGAAGAUAUUAUUAUCUCUAGCUUAUAGCUUUAAAAACAGUAAGACUUCCAAUCAAGAUCAGAAGGCAAACUUUGUGUCUCUAAGAGCAACAUGCAUGUGUGUGUGUGCACACAUGCAUACUCAUUCUUUCAAAAAGCUCUCAUAAUAUAUAAAAGGCCAAUAUUAUAAAUUUGCAGCCCCACUAAAGCUGCUAAAGUAAUACUUCAUUGUAGCUUGAAGAAUAGCAAAACUAGAGACCAAAUGAGUGGAGAAAGGCGGCUUGUAAACAGUCAUGCUUUUGCUAAAUCUCCCACCCAGGUCUCUUUGUUAAAGGUCCAUUGCAUUAUUGAAAAUUGGUAGAACCUUCCAGAGGAGCUACAUAGGGAAAUCUUAGAUCAUUGACGUCUUCAAGUGAACUUAAAGGAGUGGGAUUUCAGUUCCCGGUUUUCACUAUUUGCAUUCUGGCCAAAGAAUAUGUUUUGCUCUGCAACAGUUCCUGUGAUGACUUACCGCCCCCCAAACAGUGAAUACACCUGAUCAUGGACUGACACACAUCUAAAGCCAUGAGAUCAACUAAGCCUUCUCUAACUUAUGUGCUGGUCAGUUUGCAUUCAGUCUGUGGAGAGGAUAUAGCAUCAUUGUGAAAAAUGCAGUCAGUCAAGGAAACCUGCUCACAUCCUGGUGGCCACAAAGCAAAGAAAGAAUGAAAUGAACAGAGACAAGAUAUACCCUUCUGGGACAUACCCAUAAUGAACUGCUUCCUCUAAGUAAGUACCUACUCUCCACCA